rnacentral:rRNA from 1 species
UACGUAGGGCGCAAGCGUUGUCCGGAAUUAUUGGGCGUAAAGAGCUCGUAGGCGGCCAGUUGCGUCUGCUGUGAAAUCCCGGGGCUCAACCCCGGGCGUGCAGUGGAUACGGGCAGACUAGAGUGCUGUAGGGGAGACUGGAAUUCCUGGUGGUAGCGUGAAAUGCGGCAGAUAUCAGGAGGAACACCGGUGGCGAAGGCGGGUCUCUGGG